rnacentral:rRNA from 1 species
CAAUAGCGUAUAUUUAAGUUGUUGCAGUUAAAAAGCUCGUAGUUGGAUUUCGGGUGGGACGCAGCGGUCUCGCAUUGCGUUUGUACUGCUGCAGCCCUCCUUCUUGCCGGGGGCGGCCUCUCGGACUUCACUGUCUGGGGGUCAGAAUCGGCGAUGUUACUUUGAGUAAAUUAGAGUGUUCAAAGCAAGCUUACGCUCUGAAUAUAAUAGCAUGGGAUAACACGACAGGACUCUGGCCUAUCGUGUUGGUCUAUAGGACCAGAGUAAUGAUUAAGAGGGACAGUCGGGGGCAUUCGUAUUCCGUUGUCAGAGGUGAAAUUCUUGGAUUUACGGAAGACGAACAUCUGCGAAAGCAUUUGGCAAGGAUGUUUNCAUUG